UUUUGAGUACAUUGAGUACCCACGCAGCCUUACAGCUUUCCAACCAGGACACUGCUUCAUUAAAAGCUGGCAUGACUUGGUCUUAGCAGACAGA
rnacentral:lncRNA from 1 species